CAAAGGGAGAUCGGAAAAUCGCAAAUGAAGGUCUUCAUGAAGUAAGUUUCCAUAUAAUAUAGGUUCUAAUUUUAAUAUUGUUUUUUUUGGCCCACUAACUAAUAUUCAUAUGACUUUUCAUGGGACUAGGCACCUAAAAGAACGUUGUCAAAAAGAAGGUGUCUCAGGAAUGUAUGGGUUCUGUGACUGUAAUGUUCUUUCACCAUUGACACCGACAACGGAUGAGCAAGUUCGAUCUGACUACUUAGCCCAUGUUUUUGGAACCAAUGAGGGGAAAAAUGUUAAUCAAUUAUUCUUUGCUCCUUAUAAUGACAAGUAAGUGUAGUUUGUUUUUUAUUUUUUUUUAUAGAUCUGAGUUAUGUUAAAUCCUCAAAUUUUAAUUAAUCCCAUUACUAUGUAUUUAUUUUACAAUAUGUCUAGUCUGCAUUGGACUUUAGCGGUAAUUAGUCCAUGGAAUGGGUUGGUGUAUUGGUUAGAUCCACUUGGAGCAGAAAACGAAAUCAACUCAUUUGCACAAAAAAUCAUCAAUGAGGGAAUAGUUAAAUUCAGCAUGAAGCAUCGAAAAGAUAUCAAGAAAAUAAAAAAGAAUCCAAAAAUAGGGUGGAAGCAACCACGUUGUCCUCUACAAUCUGCAUACACAAAGCACUGUG